rnacentral:misc_RNA from 1 species
UGGCUGCCACCUUCGACGACU